rnacentral:rRNA from 1 species
UACAGAGGUCUCAAGCGUUGUUCGGAAUUACUGGGCGUAAAGGGCUCGUAGGUGGCCAACUAAGUCAGACGUGAAAUCCCUCGGCUUAACCGGGGAACUGCGUCUGAUACUGGAUGGCUUGAGUUUGGGAGAGGGACGCGGAAUUCCAGGUGUAGCGGUGAAAUGCGUAGAUAUCUGGAGGAACACCGGUGGCGAAGGCGGCGUCCUGGACCAACACUGACACUGAUGAGCGAAAGCCAGGGGAGCAAACGGG